rnacentral:rRNA from 1 species
UGGAACGGUCUGGAAAGUCCGACGGUACAGGGUGAUAGUCCCGUACACCAAAAUGCACAGGCUGUGAACUCGAAGAGUAGGGCGGGACACGUGGUAUCCUGUCUGAAUAUGGGGGGACCAUCCUCCAAGGCUAAAUACUCCUGACUGACCGAUAGUGAACCAGUACCGUGAGGGAAAGGCGAAAAGAACCCCGGCGAGGGGAGUGAAAAAGAACCUGAAACCGUGUACGUACAAGCAGUGGGAGCACCUUCGGGUGUGACUGCGUACCUUUUGUAUAAUGGGUCAGCGACUUAUAUUCUGUAGCAAGGUUAACCGUAUAGGGGAGCCGCAGGGAAACCGAGUCUUAACUGGGCGUUAAGUUGCAGGGUAUAGACCCGAAACCCGGUGAUCUAGCCAUGGGCAGGUUGAAGGUUGGGUAACACUAACUGGAGGACCGAACCGACUAAUGUUGAAAAAUUAGCGGAUGACUUGUGGCUGGGGGUGAAAGGCCAAUCAAACCGGGAGAUAGCUGGUUCUCCCCGAAAGCU